CUAUGGCGACAGCGGGGCCUUCCUGCGCCCUCUGCUGUCGGGAAGCUCGGGCCUGGCGAAGCGAGCUGGCGAAAAGAGGAGGCCUCGCGGGGGCGGAGGGAGCGGCCGAUUGCACGCACCUCGGGGCAAAGAGAGGCGGGUGCUGAGAGGGGAAAGAGAAGCCUUCCUUCGCUGCUAAAUUCCUAAAACGAGGGAGGAUUGUGGUUGCACUCCAUCUAUGACAACAAGUUACAGAUGAUCCUCUACCAGGAAAACAUAAUUUCAAAUCCAGUAAUCUGCUUGUGUGGUUAAAAUGGAACAGAUUUGGGAUUCAACUCAGCUUCGUUCCCUGCAAUCAAAUAAUAUUUUACCAUCUGUAUGAGACUUUUUAUUUUUCUAUAUAGAUUUAGAUGUCAUCUUCUGCUACUGAACUAAUACAUGAAAUAUGUGGUGUUGAUAAUAUUUCCAGAGCAUUGGUGUUAACAUUCCUAUUCUCCUACUUAACAUGCUUAUUUUGAGAAUGGUCUGUUGCAAUUCUUAAAUUGUGUUACUCUCAAGAGGAAAAUGUCUGAUUGCACUGCAGACAUAAAUCCAUGCUCUUGAACUACUGGCUGAUUCUAUGAUGCUGAAGGUAGUAAGAAGGUAUUAAUCAUUCAAACAGCAUUUUUAGAUUUCCCCUGUUGGAUGCCUGGAGUGGAGCAGGGCGGUAAAAUCUUUGCAAGUCCAGUUGCAAUGCUACCUACAUUAUGCAUAGUUCCCCGGCCUUUUGCUUCUAACCAGUUUUCUCUACUGGCCGCACUUGGUAAUUCAGAGCACACCAGUUGCUAAUAACUCUAUAGACAAAUUGAUCCUUUAGCUAUUCUUCAAACUCUGAGUCAUGCUAAACAUAGAGUGCUAGCCACAGAGGCUUAAGAAUAUUUUUUUUAAAAAAAACAUUCUCCCUUUGGUAUUGUCCAAUAUCACAGAAAUCUGUAAUUUUUCUGCUAAGACAUUUCCCUCAGAUAAUUAACAUAGUUUAAUGAGGAUGUUAGACACUGGCUUCUCUUAUUGCUCCAAAUUGCAUACACACUAUUGUUAGAAGUGAACUCUUGGGUGUUUCAAGGUCAUCCUAAUUAUUCUUGGUUCCACAUUGCACUACUUACAAUUCAGGCUUACUCAAACUUGGCCCUCCAGAUGGUUUUGGCCUACAACUCCCAUGAUCCCUAGCUAGCAGGACCAGUGGUCAGGGAUGAUGGGAAUUGUAGUCUCAAAACAUCUGGAGGGUGGAGUUUGAGGAAGCCUGACUUACAUAAUAUUUGUCUGCCAUACAGUAUCCCCUGUGGUCUUGCACCUAACACAUGCAUAUCUUGUGUCAGACCUUACUGGGAUGUCACUCAGGAUGCAAAGGGCAGGGCUUCGAUGUCUUUCACCUUCCGAAGUUGAACUAUUAAAAAAGAAGAAAAAUCACUUGCAAGAAUUGCACUGUGCCAUAAAUGCAUGGCUUGACACUGAAAUGGCAGAAUGGCUGCUGCAGAAGCAGGCUGCAGCAGUUGGCUACAGUUGAACAGGGGGUUAUUGGUUUAUGGGGGGUUUUGUUCUUGCUAUUAUAAUGUUAUUCUGUGCUUUUAUAUUGUAUUUUUAUGUUGUGAAGCAUCCCGAGAUCUAAAGAUGAAGGGCAGUAUACAAAUUAAACAAACAAAUGUGACAUCAGCAGCGACCCCCCAAGGUAUAUAUGUGAUGUAAUGCCUGAACAUCUUUUCUUGCGCUGUGGAUAUAAUCUGGAGCCUUCUUCAACAAACAUGAGGAGGAGGGGCUACCCUGUGCAUAGUUGUGCCUUGAGAAAAACCCUGGAUAAAAAAGGCUGGAGUGUAAAUAAGCCCUUCAUUAAAAUGUUAUUUUUAACUGAGGCUGUAGAAUGAGUCGAGCUCAAUAGCAUUAGCAUACGGGGAGCCGAAUGAAUGACCUGGGUUGUGUUUCAUGGUUGUAGGCAGGGUGGUGGAGUCAAUGGGCAGCUGGAACAUCUGAGGAAUGAGACGGAGGCUUGGGAUGUCUUUGCUCUCCCAGGACCUCCUGCAUCUGCCGCCUGAGGCUGGGAGAGACAACAGUGGCAACCACCCAAUGAGGAAGUUCUGGCCUGUGUGAGACUAAUAUCUAGCUGCUUCAACAAUCCAUUCUAGGCCAGGAGAGGCAUCUGCAGAAUGGCCAUCAUGGUUGGACCAUCAAAGAAUGGCGGGGAGGAGACUUUUAUACACCCCUUUGCCUUGCUGUAGUGACUAUUGCAUCAUUAUCUAUUUCAUUGUGUUUAAAAUAUAUUGUAAGUCACCCUGUGAACUUCAGUUAGUAGGCAGGAUAUAAAUACUCCUAAAUAAUAAAUAAAUAAAUAAAUAAAUACGGACAAAACAAGCCAGAGUCCUGUUGUGGCUUGUUCAGUCAUCCCAUCCUGAACGCGUGGUUUUAUUUUCCUCAAACAAGCCAGCAGCAAACCAAGAACAAACUUUGGUUACCACUUGUGGUUUGUUGGGAGAGAAGUAAACCACGAGCCGUAAUUCAGCUGACACAACAAACCACACUCUGGCUCGUUUCAUCCACAGUGAACCAGGAACAGGGGAGGUGCAUCGUGAGACCUUUUGAGUAGUGUAGAGUAGACCAUCACGCUGCUUGUGUGCAUUAAACCAUAGUUCGUUUUAAAGUGCGGCUGAAUGUGAUGGGUGAACGAGGCCAAUGCACAGCAAGACUAUACCAAGUUUGUAUACCUCCAAGUACAUCUCAUGCACAUCUCAAAGCUCCCUCCCUCAGAAUGUUAAUGUACUUGCUUCCUCUCUCAGCAUCACGCCCCCAGAAUGUUAGCAUGUACAUCAUACCCAAAGGACAGAUGGAGAGGAGACGUCACAGAUCUAUGUAUGGGAUAUAUAGGGAAUGACCUACAAGAGAGCCAACAGAGGUGAGAAAGACACAAAAAUGACUGGGAGGGGGAGGGGGUUAACAGCCAGACUUUGCUUCAGAUACUUCACCAAGGAGAAGAGAAGGACAAAUUGUUGCUAAGGGAAAUGAGACAGAUGGUUGGAACAAACAACUUGCUGACUCUUUCAGGCCUUAAAACUCUCCAGAUCCUGUUGUGAAGGAAGAGGGGGAAAUUAAGCUGCCUGUGCAAACACACACACACACACACACACACACACAGCCUUAGGCAUGUGUUUCCAACAAAUGCACAGGUGUCACCAGCACACUGCUUCUGCUCUGUCCAUCACCUCACAACAUCUCUCCUAUGCCACCCCCACCCCACCCCCAUCUCUCCCUGUCCCUGUUUUCCCCACGAUUGCCUCUACAUCCAUCUCUUCUGCUUUAUUAACCACCUCGGCCAGUUUGUUCCUCUUAGCAAUUUGCUAGGAGCGCUGGAUGGAGGGAGCCUAGCUAAUGCUCUGCCUCUGGAAUCGAGAGCGACCGAGUUAAUGUCACGUCUCUGGGGUACUCCUGCGGAGUAGCUGCAUUAAAUGACGGUUCUGGAAUGGAGUGCCUCUCUGUGUGUGAUUGGGCUCUAGGACAUAUUGUCUCCUAGGGAGCACAGCACUACGACAUUUAAUGCCAUCUGAUCCUUUGGGUUUCUGCCUUUCUCACGACUGUGCCAAGGCCUGCCUGGCUCAUGAGCCUCUCUGACUUGGAUGAAGCGCCUGUGAUUAAGGAUCCAGUCAACAUGUCCAUGUAGCUGUCGCCACAAUCCAAAUCAUAAUAAAGACAGGCAGCCAUGGGGGGAGGGGGGGAGCUGGGAGGCGGGUUGAGGUGAGACCGGAGCCAAUAAUUUGUCAGCUUUGUUGAAAGCAAGAAAACAAAAACCUGGUACUGGUAUGUAAAGCUGGAAAAUAAAACACACUUCCCAAAAUAUAUGCUGCAAGCCUACUGUGGUUGUGGUACUGUUAAACUGCAGUGAAUUAGAAAUCUAGCUACCAUUCUGUAUUAUAGGUAUGGAGAAGCUUGCCUCUGACCCUCGAGAUAUUGCUGAACUACAACUCCCAUCAGCCAUGGCAAGCUUGGUCGGGGUAAUAGGAAGUUGCAGUUCAACAAUAUGUGGAGGGUCAAAGGUUCUAUGCAAUUGCUAUAUAAUAUAUACACCUUUUCUUUUCUUUAUUUUAAUUAUUUUAGUCUAAAUGUUUAUAGGCUGACGAGAUUCUCAGGACAGCUUACAACAAUGUUAUCCCAUUGUAGUUUUUAAAGCAAAUUUAAAAGUACAUACAACACAAUACGACAGCAAGAAAAUGUAGCAGCAUAAAAGCAUGUGGCAAAGGGGAGAAAUCAAACUAAAGCUGAAUCAGAAGAAAAGCCUUGUGAUAAUAAAAAGGUCUUCUUCCCCUGUCACCAAAAUAGCAUCAACUUAGGCACCAGGUAAGCCUCUCCGGAGACAACAUUCCAUUGCCAUGAUGCCACCACUGAAAAGGCUCUUUUCCUGUGGAGACUUUGCAUGGAAACUGUUACUGUUAGGCUCAAUUAACAGCUUCCCUGUAAGUGAAGUGUAGGGCUCCAGUGGUUCUGCACAUAAGAAAGACUUGGGUAUCAAUAACUCUACAUCAUUUUCCCUGGCUUAAUCCUGUUUUAAGUGCAGUUCUUUUCCCUCUGUAUAUAAUUGCUGUAAUUGCCACAAGCUUUUCACAUUUUCUGUAAUUUUGUAUGCUGUUUUUGAAUUGCCAUGUAAUUUUCUAGUUUUGUAUGUUUAUAAAUUACUUUUUUUAAAAAAACCACCACUCUUCUUUUCAUUACACUUUGAAUAAUUCAGCAAUGACCAAUACUGGUUAAUAGCAGGUCUUACGCCCUUCCCCCAUCACUUACGGUCUUUGCACCUUUUUUGCUCUCACAAUUUGACUGUAAUUGCUCAUUUAAAACAUGUUCACAUAACUUAUUUCCACAAAAUGUGCUCCCUGAG